GAUUCCCCUAGUAACGGCGAGUGAAGCGGGAAAAGCUCAAAUUUGAAAUCUGGCGGUCCCCGGCCGUCCGAGUUGUAGUCUAGAGAGGCGUCUUCUGCGUCGGACCAUGCACAAGUCCCUUGGAACAGGGCGUCAUAGAGGGUGAGAAUCCCGUCCGUGGCAUGGACUCCCGGUGCUUUGUGAUGCGCCUUCGAAGAGUCGAGUUGUUUGGGAAUGCAGCUCAAAAUGGGUGGUAAAUUCCAUCUAAAGCUAAAUACAGGCGAGAGACCGAUAGCGAACAAGUACCGUGAGGGAAAGAUGAAAAGCACUUUGGAAAGAGAGUUAAACAGUACGUGAAAUUGUUGAAAGGGAAACGCUUGGAGUCAGUCGCGUUUGCCGGGACUCAGCCUAGCUUCUGCUUGGUGCACUUCCCGGUACACGGGCCAGCAUCGAUUUUGACCGCCGGAAAAAGGCUUGGGGAAGGUGGCACCUCCGGGUGUGUUAUAGCCCCUCGUUGUAUACGGUGGUUGGGAUCGAGGACCGCAGCACGCCUUUUGGUCGGGGUUCGCCCACGCCACGUGCUUAGGAUGCUGGCGUAAUGGCUUUAAACGACCCGUCUUGAAACACGGACCAAGGAGUCUAACAUGCCUGCGAGUGUUUGGGUGUAAAACCCAGGCGCGUAAUGAAAGUGAAAGGUUGGGACUCUUCGCUGAGGCACCGACGCCCGAUCCUGACGUUCUCUGACGGAUUUGAGGUAGAGCAUGUAUGUUGGGACCCGAAAGAUGGUGAACUAUGCCUGAAUAGGGCGAAGCCAGAGGAAACUCUGGUGGAGGCUCGUA
rnacentral:rRNA from 1 species